CCUACGGGAGGCAGCAGUGGGGAAUAUUGCACAAUGGGGGAAACCCUGAUGCAGCAACGCCGCGUGAGUGAAGAAGUAUUUCGGUAUGUAAAGCUCUAUCAGCAGGGAAGAAAAUGACGGUACCUGAGUAAGAAGCCCCGGCUAACUAUGUGCCAGCAGCCGCGGUAAUACGUAGGGGGCAAGCUUAAUCCGGAUUUACUGGUUGUAAAGGGAGCGUAGACGGCGAUACAAGUCUGAAGUGAAAGCCCGGGGCUCAACCCCGGGACUGCUUUGGAAACUGUGUUGAUGGAGUGCUGGAGAGGCAAGCGGAAUUCCUAGUGUAGCGGUGAAAUGCGUAGAUAUUAGGAAGAACACCAGUGGCGAAGGCGGCUUGCUGGACAGUAACUGACGUUGAGGCUCGAAAGCGUGGGGAGCAAACAGGAUUAGAUACCCGUGUAGUC
rnacentral:rRNA from 1 species